AUGACACAGGGAAAAAUAUUGAACACAAACUGAAAAUUGUUUUAAUAAUUUGUAAAAAAGCCUUUGUUGGGGAAAACAGGUUUAUGUCAUUUCCCGCAAGGAGAAACUAGUACUUCUAGCAGUUUAGACAUAAAUGGCUGUGUGUUGAGUGUUUGAGUGGACAGCAAAUUGACACUGUAACACAAGCUGCACACUGGCUCCUUAACAUCAUAUCAGGGUCAUAUCUUCAGUGUUGUCCCAUUAAGAGAUAUAAAUUAUUUACAAAGAAUGUGAGGGAUGUACUUACUUUUAUGAGAUACUAUAUGUCCUAGCAAGGCCGAGGCAGAAGCAAAGUUCUACCACAUCACUGCCAUGAUUGUGUUAUGUGGUGUUUUGGUAGAAGUCCAUAGUUUCAAUGGUGACGAACACUGAAGUUGUAACAGUUUGUGUUACAGUGAGCUCCCCCAGUAGGUGCAGCAGGUUUAUGCUGUUUAUUUCUGUCCUCAUUUAGAAAAAUGCUUUUACCUACAGGGCACACAUUCAUCAAGAUACAGCAAUAGUUUUUCCCCCCUUUUGAGUUAGCUUCAGGCAAUAGCACAAAACCUAGUCAUAAAACAUUUUUAUAACAUCAUGGCUGCAUAAAAGAAAGAACACUAGAUGGUUAAAAUUAGAAAAUAAACAUGGGUUAGCACACAUUCAUUUUUGACUGUCUCUUGUCUUGAUUGCAAGUCAUUCAUCUACCAUACACACACACAUAAAUAUAAUGUAAUAAAAUUGUGUUCCCUAAAAAUAAAAUAAAAUCUUUUCAUUGACUUCAUGCUUCUCCAAUGUAUAGAUGUGACCUGGGACAGAGGCCCGUUUCUAUUAGCUACUCUUUAAAGUGGGGAUGACAAGAGAACAUUCCAUUCAAGUAAGGCAAAUGUGUGCUGGUCUAAGUGAGAACCAAGCAGCUGCUCCCUGCAAACUUACAGUCAGAGCAAUAUAAAAAAAAAAAAAAAUAAAAUCAACUUUCAACGCUUAAAAGGGAGAAUGGAAACAGCUAAGACAACAAAAAAAACAAAAUAAAACUUCACAUUCCAUUGAGAGAACAGCAGUCAUUUCUUUUUUGUGCAACAUCUACUACAGUCAAAAGAUUUAAAUAUUUUAAGGCUUUUUACAGAUCUUUACCAAGGACACCAAUAAAUGUGGACAUCACUACAGGUUGAAUGCCACCCAGCAGAUGAAUUAGUAACACACAGAUUUUAAAAAAUGCAAUGCAUGUUUGGCAUCAGGUAACAAAAGCUUCUAACAGUAGGAUAAAUGCACAAACUGUUAGAAUGCAACAAUUGUUUUUGAUACAAAACAAUUUAAAUAAGCACUUGCUGUGAAUCUUCUACAGUUGGCAGAAAAAAAAAACAAACAAAAAAAAAAACCUCAAAUUAAGUAGCUCAGUGUGGGAGCGAUAGAUCACUGGCAGCUUGCCAACUCUAGUCUUUAAAUGACAGGUUUCUCUAAGAGGAUAAGAUAAUUAUUUCAUCCAGGCUGCAGAAGAAAGGCAUGAUGUAGCAAAGGUCUUUCAGUGUGUUUGGCAGGGAGUUCUGUAAUGUAUCUUAAAAUAGAGAACAAGAAAGAGCUGCACAUCCUUGACUUGAAAAGCAAAGCCCUGGAAAGAUUUUGCGGCAUAUAUUUAUGUCAUAGUUUUAGAGGCCGACUUGACCCACAUGCAGAAGACACUCAGAGAACAGAGGACCAUUUAGGUUGUUUAUUUUCUUAAAAGACCAGAAUAAAGGAUGAGGUGUGACUGUCAACAGGAAGCUGCAAGAAGAUAACAGGACGGGUGAGAUUCUAGCGUUAGACAGUGGGAAGUAGUUGCAGAAAGCUUACUGUUCGGGAGCGGCUUGAUCCGCCAGGGAGAUGGCUGUCGAGUCUGGGGAUUGUGGAGAGGCUGUGCAGGAUAACCGCCUGGAGCUUCUGUGGACAGUACGUGGUGGGCCACUGGAGAGUGGACGGGGUUCACUUCAACGCGCCUGGAGAGCUUGGUUCAAGGAGAACUGCCAGCUGAUAACUUGAUCCAGGGAUUCUUCAGGUUCGGGUUCGGCUAUGGAACGUGGCUUGGCUUGGUUCAUAGGUGAGCAAACAAAGAGAUGCAACUGGAUCUCUGCCACUGGCAGGCAAUUCCAACCAGCCUCGUCAUGCUCCUCAUUCAGCAUCUUCAGGCUCAUCACUGUCUACGCCAUUGGCAGGCGUUUCAUGCAGCCGUCGGGCUCUCACACGCCAUUGGCGGGCAUUUACAAACAUGCCUUGGCAAGUAUCUCAAUCCUAUGCCUUGUCAGGCAUUCAUCUAACCACCUUGACACUGCCAGGUGCAGCCCAUCUUCACCCGACCUGGCAUCGGCCAUCCACGCAUUAUCAGUCAUAACUCAGGGGACCUCACAUUUCCUAUGAUGAUGGACGAGAUGAUGGGUCUGUACCUUCUCCUCAGUUGAAAAGCCCACUGCUGGCAUGGGUCCUGCAUCUCUUCCUCCUCAGUUCUCAGGAAAUAUCAGGUCACUCGGUGGGAGGCAGCACAGCGGAGCUACUGAGAGCUAGCAGCUAAUCUCUGAUCAAGCUAGGGAGCAUGGUGGUUGAGUGGAAGCCAGGUGUUUUCCAUCAAGUUCUCAUUAGCAGGAGGAUAAGAGGAGCUUGCUGUCAGUACUUCUUUGCCAGAGUGUUAACCAACAGUGGUUUCCCUUGGAUUUCGGAUCCUGAGUCCAGUUCCUGCCUCAUGGUUUUGUGCUCACCAGCAAGCUGUCAAGAAUCUCCUAGUUUCAAGUUCUCUCGCUGGCAGCAUUUUGGGUUCCACCUCUGAAGUCCUCCUGUGAUCAAACCCUGCUCACCCUCCACUGUGCCCCUGUUGAACAAACAUCCUGGAAGAAACCUACAAGGAAGCGUUUGCUUACCUGCCUUCUGGAGACUCAUCGUUCAUGCAAGUCAAUUACCUUCUAGAAUAAUCUGAACGCUCUAGACGGACCACCUGAGUCUCUGACCCCGCUCAUUCCUCCCUGGUGGAUCUCCAACUUCUACCCAAGAGUUCCUGUAUCCAUUCCCGGUCCCAGUCCCUGGUUUCCUGGUCACUUUUCAAUAUUUCUACAAUAAACCUUUGAAAACA